UACGGGAGGCAGCAGUGGGGAAUAUUGCACAAUGGGCGCAAGCCUGAUGCAGCCAUGCCGCGUGUAUGAAAAAGGCCUUCGGGUUGUAAAGUACUUUCAGUCGUGAGGAAGGUGUUAAGGUUAAUAACCUUAGCAAUUGACGUUAGCGACAGAAGAAGCACCGGCUAACUCCGUGCCAGCAGCCGCGGUAAUACGGAGGGUGCGAGCGUUAAUCGGAAUUACUGGGCGUAAAGGGCACGCAGGCGGUUAAUUAAGUUGGAUGUGAAAUCCCCGGGCUUAACCUGGGAAUGGCAUUCAAGACUGGUUAGCUAGAGUCUUGUAGAGGGGGUUAGAAUUCCAUGUGUAGCGAUGAAAUGCGUAGAGAUGUGGAGGAAUACCGGUGGCGAAGGCGGCCCCUGGACAAAGACUGACGCUCAUGUGCGAAAGCGUGGGGAGCAAAC
rnacentral:rRNA from 1 species